GGCAAAUAGGACCAAAUUAAAUAUACUAGGUAAAACAGAGGCGUUAAUAGUAAAUCAGGAUUUAGAGAUAAAAACUGUAUUUCUAUUAUCCCAACAGAUAAAUCAUAUGGUUAUAAUGGGAACACCCUUUAUAAAUCUAAUAACCCCAUAUUCAGUAAAAGAUGAUUGUAUAAAAUUUAAAACAAGAAAUAAAACAGUUAGAUUAGAUUUUA
rnacentral:lncRNA from 1 species